rnacentral:rRNA from 1 species
CAGCCGUAAACUAUGCGCGUUAGGUGUACUGGUGACCACGAGUCACCGGGGUGCCGAAGGGAAACCGUGAAACGUGCCGCCUGGGAAGUACGGUCGCAAGGCUGAAACUUAAAGGAAUUGGCGGGGGAGGCACCACAACGGGUGGAGCCUGCGGUUUAAUUUGGACUCAACGCCGGAAAUCUCACCGGAUAGGACAGACAUAUGAUAGUCGGGCUGAAGACUCUACUUGAUGAUCUGAGAGGUGGUGCAUGGCGUCAGUGACU